ACGGAAGGCAGCAGUGAGGAAUAUUGGUCAAUGGGCGGAAGCCUGAACCAGCCAAGUCGCGUGAAGGAUGAAGGUAUUAUGUAUUGUAAACUUCUUUAGGCGCAGAGAAAUAAGCCCCACGCGUGGGGUGAUGCUAGUAUGCGCAGAAUAAGGAUCGGCUAACUCCGUGCCAGCAGCCGCGGUAAUACGGAGGAUCCGAGCGUUAUCCGGAUUUAUUGGGUUUAAAGGGUGCGCAGGCGGUCUUUUAAGUCAGUGGUCAAAUCGUGAGGCUCAACCUCAUCCCGCCAUUGAUACUGGGAGACUUGAUUGCGGUCGAGGUAGGCGGAAUUCGUCGUGUAGCGGUGAAAUGCAUAGAUAUGACGAAGAACACCGAUUGCGUAGGCAGCUUACCAGACCGUUAAUGACGCUCAUGCACGAAAGUGCGGGGAUCGAACAGGAUUAGAUACCCUGGUA
rnacentral:rRNA from 1 species